rnacentral:misc_RNA from 1 species
CUUGCAUGUCUACAUUGAUAAUAAACUUGGAUAAUCUUACACAAGACACACAUACAUAUAGUGGCUUUACUCCACUUGCUUAGACCCUAGACCACAUCAUUGUCUUAAGACUUACAUCAGCUACUCUACUAUGUUGGAACUCCCAACUCCUUAAUUCACUCUACAUAACAUCUUUGAUUCUAUAACACAACACUAAUUAACUAAACAUACUUGGGCCUAAUUCAUCUGCAGCCCAUUUUAACAAAACACAAAGCCCAACAUCUCUUUUGUUGACUUUGUUCCUUGCUCUUCUUUUACGCUUGAAGCUUCUUCUCUAUUCUUCUCUUCUUCUCAUAAAGCUUUCCUUAUUGCAGGAUUUAAUCUAGGAUUCACAAUUCCAACACUCCCCUAAGAAUCCUUAGAUUAAAUCCCCAAUUCGAUUUUAGGGAAUUCAAUCUCAUUGCUUCUUCUUCUCUUGGUGAUUCGCCUCUUCUCUUGUGCGAAUCCCUUUCACGAUCUUUGGCACAGCUCACUGGUAAGCUUGCCUUCUUCAUCUCCCUCUUACUUUGAAUAUCCUCGCAUCGAGAUUCUUCUUCUCUACGUGUUUGUGCGUGAAGUUCUUCAUGUCCCUCUGCUUCGAUUUUCCGUAAUCGAACUCAUCCUCUACUUUCUUCUUUUGCAGGUGAAUUGGUGUUAAGUCUCGGUCUCUUGUCUUCCUCUUGGUGAUUUUCUUCUUAUCACACAAAGGUAACACUUUUGACUCUUCAUCACUUCGAUUCAACUACUCCUUCUUCUCUUUUCUUCAAUUGACCUCUCUUGUCAAUUGUUUCUGGUUUUCAGACAUUGGAGCUCUUGGGAUUUCUCUUUCCCUCAAGCAGUCUCCAUGUCUUCUCCGCAUCUUCUCGGUGAGCCUCCCUCACGUCUCUUCCGGUUGUCGCUGCAACCUUCUUCAGCUUCCUCUCUCUCAGGUACAAUCUCAAGAAGAACAAAGAUCAAACACAAAGAACAAAGAAGGAGAAAGCUUCUUGAAGAAUAAACUCUCGUUUCUUCUCUUUCUCUCUAGAACUCUCUUUGUGUCUUGUCUCACACCUACAUCCACA